UGCAUUGCGUUUUGCCUGUAGGCUAAAACCGUGUCCGUGUUCUUCAUAUUUAUGUAGAAUUAUAGUUUGCUCUUCUGAUGUAAAAUAUGCGGCUCUGGUAGUGUUUGUGAUUGGUCAUGCUGUGCAAACAACGUCUUUUUAUAUGAACAAGCGUGCCGCUGGAUUGGUAAACCCUGGGUUGACUUAACUAGUUGUUAACCAGCGUCAUGACACAGGUUAUGCAGGACUGCGGUUGUUAGGGUUAGUGAAGCCGGGUAACUGGAAGAAAUCCAGGGCAUGUUGAUCUUGAUUCAUACAACAGGCCUCCGGCUUUUCAGGUUACCA